UUAAGUCUGGAGGUGUUUCUGAGAGCUGGGAACUUGUGAUCAACCCACCUUUUGGGGGGGUGGGGAUAAAACUUACUGGUUUUGGUUCAGAAUCAGGUGCAAAGCAUCCCUUGCCUGGAGCGUGGGCUGCUGGAUGGGUGCAUCUUGGCUGAGCCAUGGUGAGCAGAGGUCCGUGGAGUGGUGCCCAGCAGUGCAGUGCAGGCAGCAAGGCGUGAGCUCUGCAUAACCACAGCAGGUGAGUGUGACGUCUUUUGGACUCAAGGUUAAGGCUGCAUCUGCUCAUUGGAAACAGAUUUAAGGAGCAGAUGAAGGAUGCAGAGGGAUGGCAGGAAUAUCAGAUCUCUUUGCUCAGGGAAGGGUCAUUUUCCAUAACACCUCCUUCUUAUUGUCCUCCCCUCAGCGUGGAGUCCUUCUACAACCUUAUGUUUUUGGGUUGCCAAAAAACCCCAGAGGGAAUCACUCUUAUGAGCCAUCCCUUCCUCCCUUUUAUGCUGUUAGGAAUUUCUCUGUGUGCGAGUGUCUCACAAAUUCCUUUUAAUUAUGUUGCAUCCAAGUGAAAGUAAUCCAUCCCAGUAAGUGAAAGUAAUCCAUCCCAUUUGGUUUCUCUAACACUAGCAGAUGGAGCUCACGGUCUCCUCUUUUUUAGGGUCUCCAAUGCAUCAGCCCUGUCACCUGCAGAAGAAGAAUGAUCUCUGAUGAGAACCAGUUGUCACCGCAGCCUGUUCUGGCUGGAAGGAAAUGUUUACCUCGAAUCCCACUUAGGCGUGGGGUUUCAGUUAGGAAACAGCAGUUACAUCUGCUGAGCACACUCAUGACAAUGUGGGUGAUGUGUUACUGCGCUGUCCUCAUGGCUGAGGCAGCAGAGAUCCGGGACUAUGGGUGAGAUAAGGGGUCAGCACAGCAAUGACUUGGAACUGUAAUCCUGGCAUCUCAGCCCUGUGUUGCUGCUGCAUCUGCGGUUGCAGUAAACACAGAGCUGAGGCAGCAAGCAAGAAGUGGUUGAAUGCUUUCCAAGGGAGUGAUUUUCUUUUCUCCUGUGGUAAACUCCCUUCAUUCAAGAUGAAAACUUUCCAGGAGACAAAAAUCAGCUGACAAAGAUUUUAGUUGAGUUUUUCGUUUGUUUGUUUCCAAAUGUCUUUUUAAUGAAGUCAAGAGCCAUGUCAGAUUGUGUAAAAUUCAGAAUGAAAGCAAGAUGUGUCCAUGUUGCCAUUCAAACAGAGCUGGAAAGGAAGAUUAUGCAGCCCGUUCCCCUGCUCCUGCAUGGGACUGAAUAUUCUCAGGAUGGGAACACAGCGUGGCAGUGGUUCUCCAAGGUCACCCAGCAGCAGAGCCGCAGCCAGAGCCCAGGCCUUCUCCUGCUGCCCGUUGACCUACUUGAACCAGAUAAAAUGCAUCAUCCUCUUACACAACAGCUUUUCCCUUCAUGCGCACCAUCAAGCUGGGUAUUUUCUAAUGGAAAUUUCUAUGGGGAACUCUCCUGGUCAGAAAUGUUCGUCUGGGGAAAUUGUGCUGCUUCUGUAGGGAAGUCUGAAAAGGCAGAGAAGUGGGGGUUACCUUCCAGCUCCCCUCCUAUACGUUUCCCAGUUUGAGAUGAAGGCUGCACAACCAUGCAGCUGCAGUGAUUCAGUAAUAGAUGAUUUCUGCAAAUACAUGAGCCCAAGCUACAAGAUGCAUUUGCAUGCUGACAGCAUGGGUAAUGCUAACUGUGCUAGUGACAUCUUCAGUUAUCAUGUGCUGUUGCAAAUGCCAUGGCAUGUUCUGCAGAGAUUCAUGGUUUGAGAGUUACAAAAAGCCUGAGGAAGUAAUCCCUUAAAACAGCCUUUCCUGAGCAGUCUGGUGCACUCGGUAGCCUUCACAGACCCAGUCCCCAGAGCCUGAGGGUGAUGCUGAAGACAACGUCAGCAUCAUGCUUUUCCGGUCUAUCACCAGCAGGAGAUUCGGGUCUGAUUUCUGUCAGCUGGAAGAUGCAGGUUUGCAGCAUGUUGGUGAGCACCCCUGAACAUUGGGAAGAUGGGAGGGGACAACUCUGGAGGGUUUUUGUUAUUGCUUUGGGUGUGUGGCAUUGGAACAGCAGCCAGGGUGGCAAACAGGACCAGCCUGUAACUGUUCGAUGCCUGUUGUGUCUGUGUGUUUGGGCACAUUGUAGGUG